AACCACAAGAAUCAAUAGCAACAAGCAGAAAGCACAUGAUUGGAUGAUGCAGUUCCCUUUGGAGAUCCAUCUGCCUUGAAAUGUGAUGUAACUAGGCUCACAUACCGUGUCUGUGAAGGGGGUAACAGAUCCCUUUUCAUAACCUGACUCACAGGGUAAAGCUACGCUAGCUCAGAGAAGCCAAGCCAUGUUUAAAAAAUCAUUUCUAAAGAAGAAAAAGAAGUACAGUUUGUGUUCACAGAGCUAAAGUGAUUGCUUUCAAGUCUGACAUGACUCCUGUUACUGUUUUAUUGUUGCUUCCUAGAAUUUAGGCUUGAAUUUGGCAGAAGUUGAGAAGCAAGGGCAUACAUAGAAUCACUUGUGAGAAUCAGUGUGUCUGUGUGCAAGGGCCAAUUGUUUCUGGAAUAAACACCAGUCUCUAGACUGCUAUUUGAUGUGGCAAUAUAAAAUGGCAGUCAGACACAUGUAGGCAAGGCAAUUUACCUUUUUCCUACAAAUAAACACAACCAGGUAAUGAACAACACCUCCCAGUGCCAUUAAAAUUAAUUCCAUAACUGUUCCUCUUUUGUCUCCAAAAGGUAACGUUGCCUGAGAGGGAGUAUCACGACAUUAAUCAAAAAUAGAUGGUCAGUACAGAAAAUGAAGGCCAAGGAGAUGAGUAUAAAUAUCUUCUUGCAUAUCCAGAAUACAGAAGCUCUCUGAAAACUUUGUAAUUAGAGUUGAUACACUCUAUAAAGCCAUACAGAUAGUAUGCAUAACUGUCAUACCUAUACUUAACAUCUUUGAUACCCUGUGAUUCUGUAGCCUUUCAACUGGUGAACUGUGUGAAGCUGUUGAUCGUAUGAUAGAUCACGCAAUGGAGAAACUCUACAGACAGAAAUAUCUACUUGUUCCUGGCUAGGAAGAAUAAACCUUUCCUGUUUUUGGAAUCCACAGAAAUACAGAUGCAAAAGCAGGACAUGGAUAAAUGAGAGAAGAUAAGGUAUUGCUCCUACAAGUAGAACAUUCUGUCUUCGAGAUAGGUACUUACCAGUUCUCAUGAAGCUCUUACGUGGGAAAGAUUCUAAUGCCUAGGAUGAGACUUGGAAUACAUGACAGAGCAAGAAAACUGUCACCCCUCUCAGAUAAUCAUCCUAUGAUCAAGACACCACCUGGUGCCAGAGGAGUCCACAUUUCAAGUUUGUGUUCUCCAAGAUGUCUGAAUAUCAGAAUCCCGCAUCCCAGGCAAGCUUUCUGGCCACCAAACUAUCAGUUAUUCUGAUUAACACCUUCCUCUGUCUCUCUGUUGGACCUGUUUCACUUUCUAUAAAAAAUUAAAAAUUAAUUGGAAUAA